GACGAACGCUGGCGGCGUGCUUAACACAUGCCAGUCGAACGGUGAAGCGAGUGCUUGCACUCGUGGAUCAGUGGCGAACGGGUGAGUAACACGUGAGUAACCUGCCCAUCACUCUGGGAUAAGCACUGGAAACGGUGUCUAAUACUGGAUACGACUAACCCUUGCAUGGGGUGUUGGUGGAAAGAUUUAUCGGUGAUGGAUGGACUCGCGGCCUAUCAGCUUGUUGGCGGGGUAAUGGCCCACCAAGGCGACGACGGGUAGCCGGCCUGAGAGGGUGACCGGCCACACUGGGACUGAGACACGGCCCAGACUCCUACGGGAGGCAGCAGUGGGGAAUAUUGCACAAUGGGCGAAAGCCUGAUGCAGCGACGCCGCGUGAGGGAUGACGGCCUUCGGGUUGUAAACCUCUUUCAGCAGGGAAGAAGCGAAAGUGACGGUACCUGCAGAAGAAGCACCGGCUAACUACGUG
rnacentral:rRNA from 1 species